GACGAACGCUGGCGGCGUGCUUAACACAUGCAAGUCGAACGGAAAGGCCCUGCUUUUGUGGGGUGCUCGAGUGGCGAACGGGUGAGUAACACGUGAGUAACCUGCCCUUGACUUUGGGAUAACUUCAGGAAACUGGGGCUAAUACCGGAUAGGAGCUCCUGCUGCAUGGUGGGGGUUGGAAAGUUUCGGCGGUUGGGGAUGGACUCGCGGCUUAUCAGCUUGUUGGUGGGGUAGUGGCUUACCAAGGCUUUGACGGGUAGCCGGCCUGAGAGGGUGACCGGCCACAUUGGGACUGAGAUACGGACCAGACUCCUACGGGAGGCAGCAGUGGGGAAUAUUGCACAAUGGGCGGAAGCCUGAUGUAGCAACGCCGCGUGCGGGAUGACGGCCUUCGGGUUGUAAACCGCUUUCGCCUGUGACGAAGAGUGAGUGACGGUAAUGGGUAAAGAAGCACCGGCUAACUACGUG
rnacentral:rRNA from 1 species